rnacentral:rRNA from 1 species
GGGAACGCGUGAGAAUCUAACUUCAGGACGGGGACAACAGUUGGAAACGACUGCUAAUACCCGAUGUGCCGCAAGGUGAAACAUAAUUGGCCUGAAGAAGAGCUUGCGUCUGAUUAGCUAGUUGGUGGGGUAAGAGCCUACCACGGCGACGAUCUGUAGCUGGUCUGAGAGGAUGAGCAGCCACACUGGGACUGAGACACGGCCCAGACUCUUACGGGAGGCAGCAGUGGGGAAUUUUCCGCAAUGGGCGAAAGCCCGACGGAGCAACGCCGCGUGAGGGAGGAAGGUCUUUGGAUUGUAAACCUCUUUUCUCAAGGAAGAAGUUCUGACGGUACUUGAGGAAUCAGCCUCGGCUAACUCCGUGCCAGCAGCCGCGGUAAUACGGGGGAGGCAAGCGUUAUCCGGAAUUAUUGGGCGUAAAGCGUCCGCAGGUGGUCAGCCAAGUCUGCUGUCAAAUCAGGUUGCUUAACGACCUAAAGGCGGUGGAAACUGGCAGACUAGAGAGCAGUAGGGGUAGCAGGAAUUCCCAGUGUAGCGGUGAAAUGCGUAGAGAUUGGAAGAACAUCGGGGCGAAAGCGUGCUACUGGCUGUUUGACACUCAG